AGUGAACGCUGGCGGCAUGCCUUACACAUGCAAGUCGAACGGCAACACGUUUACGGCUUCCGCCUAGUGGUGGACGGGGGAGGACGAGUUCGGAAUGCACCCGGACCUAGUUUUUCACGGGGGGAAACCUUGGGAAAUAUACCCUAAUACCUCAUACGACCUGCGGGGGACAGCAAGGGAUCUUCGGACCUUGCCCGCUUGUAGGAGCCGAUGUCGGAUUAGCUAGUUGGCGGGGUAAAGGCCCACCAAGGCGACGAUCCGUAGCUGGUCUGAGAGGAUGAUCAGCCACACUGGAACUGAGACACGGUCCAGACUCCUACGGGAGGCAGCAGUGGGGAAUAUUGGACAAUGGGCGCAAGCCUGAUCCAGCAAUACCGCGUGGGUGAAGAAGGCCUUCGGGUUGUAAAGCGCUUUUGUAGGGAAAGAAAAGCAGCAGGUUAAUACCCCGCUGUUCUGACGGUACCCAAAGAAUAAGCACCGGCUAACUUCGUG
rnacentral:rRNA from 1 species